CCUACGGGGGGCAGCAGUGGGGAAUAUUGGACAAUGGGGGCAACCCUGAUCCAGCCAUGCCGCGUGUGUGAAGAAGGCCCUCGGGUUGUAAAGCACUUUCAGUGAGGAAGAACGCCUGGUGGUUAAUACCCAUCAGGAAAGACAUCACUCACAGAAGAAGCACCGGCUAACUCCGUGCCAGCAGCCGCGGUAAUACGGAGGGUGCGAGCGUUAAUCGGAAUUACUGGGCGUAAAGCGCGCGUAGGUGGCUUGAUAAGCCGGUUGUGAAAGCCCCGGGCUCAACCUGGGAACGGCAUCCGGAACUGUCAGGCUAGAGUGCAGGAGAGGAAGGUAGAAUUCCCGGUGUAGCGGUGAAAUGCGUAGAGAUCGGGAGGAAUACCAGUGGCGAAGGCGGCCUUCUGGGCCGACACUGACGCUGAGGCGCGAAAGCGUGGGUAGCAAACAGGAUUAGAUACCCCGGUAGUC
rnacentral:rRNA from 1 species